rnacentral:rRNA from 1 species
UGGGGAAUAUUGCACACUGGGGGAAACCCUGAUGCAGCGACGCCGCGUGAACGAAGAAGGUAUUCGUAUCGUAAAGUUCUGUCCUAUGGGAAGAUAAUGACAGUACCAUAGAAGAAAGCUCCGGCUAAAUACGUGCCAGCAGCCGCGGUAAUACGUAUGGAGCGAGCGUUGUCCGGAAUUAUUGGGCGUAAAGGGUACGCAGGCGGUUUAAUAAGUCGAAUGUUAAAGAUCGGGGCUCAACCCCGCAAAGCAUUGGAAACUGAUAAACUUGAGUAGUGGAGAGGAAAGUGGAAUUCCUAGUGUAGUGGUGAAAUACGUAGAUAUUAGGAGGAAUACCAGUAGCGAAGGCGACUUUCUGGACACAAACUGACGCUGAGGUACGAAAGCGGGGGGAGCAAACAGG